rnacentral:rRNA from 1 species
GAUGAACGCUGGCGGCGUGCCUAAUACAUGCAAGUCGUGCGAACAGACGAGGAGCUUGCUCCUCUGACGUUAGCGGCGGACGGGUGAGUAACACGUGGUUAACCUACCUAUAAGACUAGGAUAACUUCGGGAAACCGAAGCUAAUACCGGAUAAUAUAUUGAACCGCAUGGUUCAAUAGUGAAAGACGGUUUUGCUGUCACUUAUAGAUGGAUCCGCGCCGCAUUAGGUAGUUGGUAAGGUAACGGCUUACCAAGGCGACGAUGCGUAGCCGACCUGAGAGGGUGAUCUGCCACACUGGAACUGAUACACGGUCCAGACUCCUACGGGAGGCAGCAGUAGGGACUCUUCCGCGCUGGGCGAAAGAUUGACGGAGCAACGCCGCGUGAGUGAUGAAGGUCUUCGGAUCGUAAAACUCUGUUAUUAGGGAAGAACAAAUGUGUAAGUAACUAUGCACGUCUUGACGGUACCUACUCAGAAAGCCACGGCUAACUACGUG